AUGCCCGCCCGGCGCUGUGCGCAGCCAGAGGGAAGUGACAGCGAACGCCUGCCCAGCCCACUUUCGCGUAACCCCAGCGUUGGAGCGGGAGUUUCCUGCUUUCCUGACUCCAUCACAUUCUGCUCCCGAGCUGAUGCCUUCUUGCCAGUUCCCCCAAGGCUCUGGGCUCCCGUUUCCCCACCAGGAAAUGAAGGUCAAUCAGAUACGCCUCUGACCAUCUCUGGAGGGAGGAUGUGGGAGGGGCCGGAAGCCCACCUUCAAGGUCUCCGCCCAAGGCUGUUGGUGAGUUGUCAGAAGAGAAAGCAGAUCCUUGAUGGAGGAACUGACCUUCCGCCGAGGCCUCAGGAAUUCCUACAGAGAAAUCGUCUUACGUGUGUGUGUGCACGCCGAGGCCGAGACAGAGACAUUCACUCAGCACGGUUUUCAAAAAAGAAAACGCCGAAGCACCUCAAGGUCACUCGGCAGAGGGGCGUGUAA
rnacentral:lncRNA from 1 species